rnacentral:rRNA from 1 species
ACAUGCCUACAACAUAGUGUUGAUGCAUUGGAUCCCAUUAGAACUCCGCAAUUAAGUGCGCUCGAGCUAGAGUAGUACUGGGAUGGGUGACCUCCAGGGAAGUCCUAGUAUUUUACAUGGC